GAUGAACGCUGGCGGCGUGCCUAAUACAUGCAAGUCGAGCGAACAGACGAGGAGCUUACUCCUCUGACGUUAGCGGCGGACGGGUGAGUAACACGUGGAUAACCUACCUAUAAGACUGGGAUAACUUCGGGAAACCGGAGCUAAUACCGGAUAAUAUAUUGAACCGCAUGGUUCAAUAGUGAAAGACGGUUUUGCUGUCACCUAUAGAUGGAUCCGCGCCGCAUUAGCUAGUUGGUGAGGUAACGGCUUACCAAGGCAACGAUGCGUAGCCGACCUGAGAGGGUGAUCGGCCACACUGGAACUGAGACACGGUCCAGACUCCUACGGGAGGCAGCAGUAGGGAAUCUUCCGCAAUGGGCGAAAGCCUGACGGAGCAACGCCGCGUGAGUGAUGAAGGUCUUCGGAUCGUAAAACUCUGUUAUUAGGGAAGAACAAGUGUGUAAGUAACUAUUCACGUCUUGACGGUACCUAAUCAGAAAGCCACGGCUAACUACGUG
rnacentral:rRNA from 1 species